AUUAUGGAGUGGGGAUGAAGA
rnacentral:sRNA from 1 species